rnacentral:rRNA from 1 species
UACGUAGGGCGCAAGCGUUGUCCGGAAUUAUUGGGCGUAAAGAGCUCGUAGGCGGUUUGUCGCGUCUGCUGUGAAAACCUAAGGCUCAACCUUGGGCUUGCAGUGGGUACGGGCAGACUAGAGUGCGGUAGGGGUGACUGGAAUUCCUGGUGUAGCGGUGGAAUGCGCAGAUAUCAGGAGGAACACCGAUGGCGAAGGCGCACAUCUGGCCCGAUACUGACGCUGAGGCGCGAAAGCGUGGGGAGCAAACAGG